CUCGAACGUUGGCGGCGUGCUUGAUACAUGCAAGUCGAAUGAAUUAGAUUCAUGGCGGAUUGGUGAGUAACACGUUGAUACCUGCCCUUAACUUGGGGAUAACCCAUAGAAAUGUGGGAUAAUACCCAAUAGCGUUAUACUUUCUUUAUGUUUGUAUAACUAAAACUCCGGUGGUUAAGGAUGGGUCAGCGCAUUAUCAGCUAGUUGGUAAGGUAACGGCUUACCAAGGCGAUGACGAUUAGGGGGUCCGAGAGGAUAAUCCCCCACAGUGGAACUGAGAUAUGGUCCACACACCUACGGGAGGCAG
rnacentral:rRNA from 1 species